CCCAGCCUUAUCCCGAGCCGGACUGGACCGGACCGGACUUGGUGGGCACCUCCCCGCGACCCCCGGGCAUGGCACAGGCCGGGAGCUUGGCCGUCUAGAGCCGACAGCCCCGGGACGGGCCAUGGAGAGGGCGAUGCUUUCCGCAAACCAGAGCGCCAAUGACUCCAGCGACUCAGGCUACAGGUGCCAGUUUGAUGAGGACUUCAAGUACAUCCUGCUGCCCUUGUCCUACGGCCUGGUGUGUACGGUGGGGCUGGGCCUCAACGCGGUGGCCCUCUACGCCUUCCUAGUCCGCAUGAAGACGUGGAGCGCCUCCACCACCUACAUGUUUCAUCUGGCCAUAUCCGACACCCUGUACGUGGUGUCCCUUCCGCUGCUGGUCUACUAUUACGCCAGCGGAGACCACUGGCCCUUUGGCAAGGGGCUGUGCAAGCUUGUGCGCUUCCUCUUCUACACCAACCUGUAUGGCAGCAUCCUGUUCCUCCUGUGCAUCAGUGUCCACCGCUUCCUGGGCAUCUGCCACCCUCUGCGCUCGCUGCAGUGGGGCCACGUGCGCUACGCCCGCCGCGUGGCGGCCGCCGUGUGGCUGCUAGUGGCCGCCUGCCAGGCGCCGGUGCUGUUCUUUGUGACCACCACAGAGCGCGGCCCCCGCGUCACCUGCCACGACACCUCGAGCCCGGACCUGUUCGGGGCCUUUGUGGCCUACAGCUCGGUCAUGCUGGUGCUGCUCUUUACCGGGCCCUUCCUGACCAUCCUGGCCUGCUACGCCCUCAUGGUCCGCCGGCUGCUGCGGCCCACCCGUGGGCUCGUUCGCCUGACGCGCUCCAAGCGCCGGUCGAUCCGGAUGAUCGCCGUGGUCCUCCUGGUCUUCGUGGUCUGCUUCCUGCCCUUCCACGUCACCCGCACCCUCUACUACGCCUUCCGCUCCCUCGACCUCAGCUGCCCAGCCCUCAACGCCAUCAAUCUGGCCUAUAAGGUGACGCGCCCACUGGCCAGCGCCAACAGCUGCCUGGACCCGGUGCUCUACUUCCUGGCCGGCCAGUGGCGGGUCAAGGUAUCCGGCGGUACCCGGCCGUCCCCGACUGAGCCCACGCUCACCCUCCAGGGACACGGCAGCCCGGCCAGCCCCCAGCCCGAGGCCAAAGACGCCCAGCUCUAGCCCCACCCUUGGGAGGGUGGACGCAGCCACCCGACGCCCGCUCCGGGUAGCAGACACACAUACACACAUUUGGACAUUGCAGAUGAGAAAGAACCCGUGUGACUGGAGCCGUCAGAGUCAGAAAGAGCUAAUCCGAGCAGGGUCUCUGAAGGAGCCACCUUCCUUUGACAGAGGACAGAGGCUCCAACCCCCACCCUCGAGCGGCAAACUGAAGCCCUUCAUUCCCCUGGCUGCAGGAGAUACUGCGUGUCCUCUCUGACGGCCUUAAAGGAGCUCAUCGACUGGGAUUGGUGGUGCCAUUCUGCAUGGAGGCAGGGGAAUGGACAAGAUGCCCUCUGGAGGGUCUCCCCUGGCCUCGAGAGCAGACGUGACGCCUCGUCCUGGAGAGACAUUGGUUGUGGGGAGAGGUGCAGGCAGCACCAGAUCUGGCUACCAGGGGGUGGUGAAAGGAAGAGAGGCGGCCAUCAGCUUGGGAGCGGGGCUCAGGGUGCAGCCACAGACCCGGCUCCCCGCGGGGCGGGGUCUGCUGGACGGCGGGGACCCCACUGGCUGUAUGUGGCUAAUAGGACCCUCACAGGGGUCAGGCUCUAGACCCCCCAAUUCCCUUUCAGACUGGACCAUGUUGCCCGGGUGCACCGAGAGCUCUCAUCGCCAGCCGCCGUUUUGAAUAUCUCGCCCCCUCUGUCUGCGAUCUUCCUGAAGCCACCCUUCUAAGCCCAUCGCCCAGUUGCUACCUGCUGCAGGCCAGACUGGUCUGGCAGCUCUGGCACGUGGUCAGAUUGGGCUUCCCCAGGCCUUCAACCUGUCUGUGUCUUGCACCGCUGACCCGCAGAGCCCUCACCCUCGCCAGGCAGUUGCUGUUGGGGGUAUCACAGCCGUCCACUGGCCAGUGAUGAAGGGCUCUGAACAGGGGCACAGGGAGGCAGCAAACCAAAGAGGAGCCCACCUGCCAUGCCCUGUCCAGCCCAUGAGCUAGUCUGAGACCCUCAGGUGACACUGGUGACCCCAGAGUUGGAAGCCACUCUGAUAGGUCAUCCAGUGCAGGCGCCCGGCCCCUUCCUCUAGCGGAAAGGAAGUCCUUCCCUGUAUCCCCUCACGUUCUCUCCUGCUGGGAUCUACCCUUCUCCAUGACCUCCUUACCUCUUUUCCACCUCCCUGUCUGGGCCCAGGACAGAACAUUACUCACUCUCAGCCCUCCAGGGUACCUGGAGGCAGGGCCAUCUGCCUGGGGUUCCUGACCAACCCAAACCCCGAUCAGGUGACCAGGCAGCUGGAACCGGGUCCCAGAACCUCACACCAGGGCCUCAGGCCAGCCCUCCUGUCCCCUUUGGAUUGGGAUAGUCAAUUUUGGGAGAUCCCAGAAGGAGCUGCAAAGGUGAAUACCACUGUUCAUUCAUGCACUGGGCCCCACUGUGGGCAGAGCGCUCAACAGGGAGCACUCUCUGGAAAGAGUGCUGUACUGGAGGCCAGCUAAUCUAUCAAUAGUAUUUAUUGAGCACUGACUUCAUGCAGACCACUAAACAAAGCCCUUGGGAAAGUAGAAUACAACGGAGUUGGUAGAAUCAAUCCCGGACCUCAAGGAGUUUUGCUGUGUGCAGCCCUCUAUACUGACCACCUACUCUGAGCAGAGAAUGCCAACUGGGUUCAAGACCCAGUGCUGGGCGACUGCUGUGGGUAGAGCACUGGAUUAGGCACCUGAUACGUGCGUGGUGCCACACUGACAUGGGUGGGGUACUUUGGAGAUCACUGCAUUAGGCACUAUGGAGCCACAGUAAAAUUCCCUGCCCUUGAAGAGUUUGUAAUCUAAUGAGGGAGACACCAGUUGUAUACACACAGUGGGAGCAGAAAGAAAAAUAAUUACUGUGGUGUACACCAGACAUUGGGAAAAAUAAGUAAAUGACUACAGAAAUGGAAUAAACAAAUUAAUAAA